AGUUUGGUGGGGAUUGUGACCAGAAGAUUUUGAAAAUUAAAUAUUACUGAAGAUUUCGACUUCCACUGUUAAAUGUACAAGAUACAUGAAAUAUUAAAGAAAAUGUGUAACUUUUUGUGUAAAUACAUCUUGUCUUGUUUUCAUUCAAAAACAUUUCACUUUUGGGGUUGCGUGUCAGAUUUGGCAGUAUAAAUUCUGGCUAUAUUUUUUGUUGUUAGAUUUAUUUGGCUGUUAAGUAUUGCGAUAUGACUAAACAUACUGUAUACCUGAUGAUCAUCUGUAAAGUUAGAGUAUAUCUUUUUGCUUUCUUUGGAGUUAGUGUUAUUCCAGGAUAUUUUACUUAAUCUAAAAGUUAAUUUAUGUUGCUCAUAUAUUACUCAAGUAUUUAAAUUUAGAGAGAAUGCCGCUCUGUUUAAAGCAAUGUGUAAAGAUGAGUUUUUUUAAGCAUGGAAUUUAGGGUUGGGGUACAAUUUGUUUCUAUUAAGCAAGUACCAGUUUACCAAUACAUGAGUAACUGAAGUGUAACUGUUAAAUGCUUGUAUACUAGUUUUUCUUUCUGAUUGUCAGUGAUUUAUAAGCUAUAAAUGACCAAGGUCCUCAGACUGCUUUUAGCAUCUGCAACUUAAAAAAAUGGGAGUUAGAAAAAGAACAAAUGCUAAAUAGAGUAACAGUUAAAUGUAUGUGUACACUCUUCCCAAAUGCCAAGAGUGCAGCGGUGGGGUGAGAUUCAGAUAUUCAUUUAUUUCUAAGUCUGUAGUUAACAUUUAUGUUCCCUACUCCCUACGUAAGCCAGACUUUGGCAACAGUGAUAGUUGAUUCCAGGCUUAUUUGACUUAAAGUCACUGAAGUGGAAACUAAGAAGUGGCAGUUAGUGUUUUACCCAGCAUUUCUGCCUUCUCUCUUUUCUUCAUGUGUUUUUGUCUCUAGCCUAUGUGUAUUUGUGUAGAAUAAUGUGGGAUACCUGAAUAAUAGAUUUAAAAGGACCAAGUGGUAAAAUUGGGCCCAAGCUGAAGUACAGGCAAACUUGAUGUUUGAAAGAUAAGUUUUGAGAAAUGUCAUUGUAUUUUGGAGUAAAAGAGGCUAUCUUAGUAAUAAGAAAUAAACUUCCAUAACACUAGGUUAGACCACCCAAUAAAUCUAGAAAUCAGCUUUUAAAAAUAUUGUCUGAAGUCUAACAAAAGUUUUCACCUCUAAUGUGUUCUUUAAGAAAUUUAAGGAACUUAGCCUUGGAUUCCUGAAUAGAAAGUUUGAAGACACACUGACUCCUGACAAAAUGCAGCCUGCAACUUCCUGGAGAACAACUCAGUGUCACAUUAAAGUUUAUUAUGUAUUUAAUGAUACACUGUUUAAUUGACAGUUUUGCAUAGUUUGUCUAACUUUAGAGAAUUAAGAGCCUCUCAACUGAGCAGUAAAGGUAAGGAGAGCUCAAUCUGCACAGAGCCAGUUUUUAGUGUUUGAUGGAAAUAAGAUCAUCAUGCCCACUUGAGACUUCAGAUUAUUCUUUAGCUUAGUGGUUGUAUGAGUUACAUCUUAUUAAAGUCGAAAUUAAUGUAGUUUUCUGCCUUGAUAACAUUUCAUAUGUGGUAUUAGUUUUAAAGGGUCAUUAGGAAAAUGCACAUAUUCCAUGAAUUUUAAGACCCAUAGAAAAGUUGAAGAAUGCUUAAUUUUCUUAUCCAGUAAUGUAAACACAGAGACAGAACAUUGAGAUGUGCCUAGUUCUGUAUUUACAGUUUGGUCUGGCUGUUUGAGUUCUAGCGCAUUUAAUGUUAAUAAAUAAAAUACUGCAUUUUAAAGCUGUUAAGAAAUUGUCCAGAACGAGAAUAUUGAAAUAAAAACUUCAAGGUUAUUAUCGCA
ensembl:lncRNA MIR17HG miR-17-92a-1 cluster host gene